CCUAGGGUGGCAGCAGUGAGGAAUAUUGGUCAAUGGGCGCGAGCCUGAACCAGCCAAGUAGCGUGAAGGAUGACUGCCCUACGGGUUGUAAACUUCUUUUAUCAAGGAAUAAAGUGAUGCACGUGUGCCUUUUUGUCUUUACUUUAUGAAUAAGGAUCGGCUAACUCCGUGCCAGCAGCCGCGGUAAUACGGAGGAUCCGAGCGUUAUCCGGAUUUAUUGGGUUUAAAGGGAGCGUAGAUGGGUUGUUAAGUCAGUUGUGAAAGUUUGCGGCUCAACCGUAAAAUUGCAAUUGAUACUGGCAGCCUGGAGUACAGUUGAGGUAGGUGGAAUUCGUGGUGUAGCGGUGAAAUGCUUAGAUAUCACGAAGAACUCCGAUGGCGAAGGCAGCCUACUAAACGGCCACUGACAUUGAUGCUCGAAAGUGUGGGUAUCAAACAGGAUUAGAUACCCUUGUAGUC
rnacentral:rRNA from 1 species